UACGAAGGUGGCUAGCGUUGUUCGGAAUAACUGGGCGUAAAGCGCAUGUAGGCGGAUCUUUAAGUCAGAGGUGAAAUCCCAGGGCUCAACCCCGGCAUUGCCUUUGAUACUGGAGAUCUGGAGUCUGGGAGAGGUGAGUGGAAUUCCGAGUGUAGAGGUGAAAUUCGUAGAUAUUCGGAGGAACACCAGUGGCGAAGGCGGCUCACUGGCCCGAGACUGACGGUGAGAUGCGAAAGCGUGGGGAGCAAACAGG
rnacentral:rRNA from 1 species